ensembl:misc_RNA
AAGUUCUGCGGACUGCUUUUUCCUGGAAGUUAUUUUUGGUGAUUUUUUUUUUUUUUUAGUGAUUUUUUGGCGUGGUCUUAGUGGUGCUAUACUCUUGGACAGGUUAUCCUGUCUCUCCUACUAGAUUGAUGAGAUCAGGUAUC